GAAUGACUCUCGGCAACGGAUAUCUCGGCUCUCGCAUCGAUGAAGAACGUAGCGAAAUGCGAUACUUGGUGUGAAUUGCAGAAUCCCGUGAACCAUCGAGUCUUUGAACGCAAGUUGCGCCCGACGCCUUCCGGCCGAGGGCACGUCUGCCUGGGCGUCACGC
rnacentral:rRNA from 1 species